CUGCUGAACUUAACCGGCUGUUUGUUUUUAUCUGCGUCAGUGUGUUCUAACAGCGACAGGUUGAGGUGUUGAUCUGAAGACUAACCGAUUUUCUAAAGUCAAGAAGAUGGAAGUAUGUUUGGAUGAAUGGCUUGAACACUUCCACUCCAAUGGAAAUCAGCCGUACUUUGGCCGUAGACCUUCACAAACACGGAUCAAGUGUACUUCAAGCAAUCAGAAGAACCAGAUCAACCUGAAGGUGAUUCUACCUGAAGGUAGGCCGAUGAAAAGGCCCUCCAAGGAAUGUCCUCCAGACUUCUGAACCCAACCUUUAUCAAACAAGAUUCCCUGAAGUCAAGAAGAAGAGUAAAUCUCAGAGAGGAUCAGCGUCUUCAAAUGUCAGUUUAAUUCAACAUUGAACAUGAAGUGAGACAAAUUGAAACAGUGUUUAACAGACAUGAGGAGGACAUCUUCAAGGCCAAACACUAACAUGUUGUUAUGGAUUCAUUAAAAGUAACCUAAUUGGCUGAGCUUUG